GAUGAACGCUGGCGGCGUGCCUAAUACAUGCAAGUCGAGCGAACAGACGAGGAGCUUGCUCCUCUGACGUUAGCGGCGGACGGGUGAGUAACACGUGGAUAACCUACCUAUAAGACUGGGAUAACUUCGGGAAACCGGAGCUAAUACCGGAUAAUAUAUUGAACAGCAUGGUUCAAUAGUGAAAGACGGUUUUGCUGUCACUUAUAGAUGUAUCCGCGACGCAUUAGCUAGUUGGUAAGGUAACGGCUUACCAAGGCAACGAUGCGUAGCCGACCUGAGAGGGUGAUCGGCCACACUGGAACUGAGACACGGUCCAGACUCCUACGGGAGGCAGCAGUAGGGAAUCUUCCGCAAUGGGCGAAAGCCUGACGGAGCAACGCCGCGUGAGUGAUGAAGGUCUUCGGAUCGUAAAACUCUGUUAUUAGGGAAGAACAAAUGUGUAAGUAACUAUGCACGUCUUGACGGUACCUAAACAGAAAGCCACGGCUAACUACGUG
rnacentral:rRNA from 1 species